rnacentral:rRNA from 1 species
ACGAACGCUGGCGGCGUGCUUAACCCAUGCAAGUCGAACGCUGAAGCUUGGUGCUUGCACUGGGUGGAUGAGUGGCGAACGGGUGAGUAAUACGUGAGUAACCUGCCCUUGACUCUGGGAUAAGCCUGGGAAACUGGGUCCAAUACUGGAUACGACAUGUCACCGCAUGGUGGUGUGUGGAAAGGGUUUUACUGGUUUUGGAUGGGCUCACGGCCUAUCAGCUUGUUGGUGGGGUAAUGGCUCACCAAGGCGACGACGGGUAGCCGGCCUGAGAGGGUGACCGGCCACACUGGGACUGAGACACGGCCCAGACUCCUACGGGAGGCAGCAGUGGGGAAUAUUGCACAAUGGGCGGAAGCCUGAUGCAGCGACGCCGCGUGAGGGAUGACGGCCUUCGGGUUGUAAACCUCUUUCAGCACGGAAGAAGCGAAAGUGACGGUACGUGCAGAAGAAGCGCCGGCUAACUACGUG